rnacentral:rRNA from 1 species
GAUGAACGCUGGCGGCGUGCCUAAUACAUGCAAGUCGAGCGAACGGACGAGAAUCUUGCUUCUCUGAUGUUAGCGGCGGACGGGUGAGUACCACGUGGAUAACCUACCUAUAAGACUGGGAUAACUUCGGGAAACCGGAGCUAAUACCGGAUGAUAUUUUGAACCGCAUGGCUCAAAAGUGAAAGACGGUCUUGCUGUCACUUAUAGAUGGAUCCGCGCUGCAUUAGCUAGUUGGUAAGGUAACGGCUUACCAAGGCAACGAUGCAUAGCCGACCUGAGAGGGUGAUCGGCCACACUGGAACUGAGACACGGUCCAGACUCCUACGGGAGGCAGCAGUAGGGAAUCUUCCGCAAUGGGCGAAAGCCUGACGGAGCAAUGCCGCGUGAGUGAUGAAGGUCUUCGGAUCGUAAAACUCUGUUAGUAGGGAAGAACAUAAGUGUAAGAAAAUGUGCACAUCUUGACGGUACCAAAUCAGAAAGCACCGGCUAACUACGUG